UCAAGCAGGGACUGGAUGUGGGAGAGUCUAGAAAGCUUCCCUUCCAAAAAGAUAGGACAGUUUCUCUAAUCAACAAUUCCCAGUGUCUGAGUUUGCAGAUCAAGAUGUGAGCUCUCAGCUGCUACAGCCAACAUGCCUACUGUUUGCUACCAUGCUGCUGAUGUAUUAUGGACUCCCAACCCUCAAUAAUUGAGGAAAGGGAAGUGACUCAACAUGAAAGAAGUGGGACUUCCACAGUGAUCACAAGUUUUGAGUAUUCAUAAGAUCCUGUUACUAGAAUGUUCCUUUGCUGAAGUUGCUUCCUAAGGGUCAUGGCAAUUAUUAUACAGCCCAGCCAAAUUUAGUCUUGAACGACUCCACCUACAGAUUUCUAUGAUAAGCAUCUUCACCUUCUAAAUUCUCCCACUCAUCCAAGGGUUGAAUUUACAAAAAUGAGUCAGAGGUUAAGUGAACAGAAUCAUGUUCAUGUUAGGACUACCCUGAGUCUUCCCACACCUCAGCCUUCAAUGUCUUCUGGUCCUUUCCUGGUGCUGAAGGAUCUUGAUUCAAGAUCUUCACAAAUAUAAAACAGAAACAAAAGAAUGAAGAACAAAAAUUCAGACAAAAGAAGGGAGCUGGCAAAAGACAUUUGCUAAAAACAUAUCUCUACCCCUGGUAUUGGCAAUAUGCUGCAGAGGAGAGCAGAAACAACCACGGGGAGUAAACUCUACCUGGGACCACUAUGCAUUUAAA